ACUAAAUGGAAUUUUAUCAUUCAUAUAUGAACAUUUUAUUGUUGCUUUUUCAUCUAUGCUUACAGAUCGCUCAAAGAACGAGUCUGCACCAAUUUGAAGGAAACUGCACAGAGUCCAUAUUUAAAUAUAUUUGUUCAAAAAUAUAUUUUAUAGAAUUGGUUAUUUUACUAAGGUCAAAGUUGGGCUCUCUUAUUAAAUGUGUAUGAACUGGAAUACUACACAUUUGAGUUCUAUUAUUUUCAUAUUGUUUCUAAGAAUAAGCAAAAUUAUGACAGAAUAUAAACAUUAUAUGGGGAGAGAGGCAAAAUAGGCAGAGCUAAUUCAUCAAAAUUAUCAUAGGAAUUCUCAUGACUAAUAUUCAGUUUUUUUACAACACUGUUUGAUUUCGAAGGCAGUUGAUUUGUAUGUAUAUUGCCUUCAUCAACAAUUGCACCAGAAGUAUCAGGAAUAUUAUUACUUAAACCUUCAAAUUCAACUAUAGGAUAUGCAUCUGGUUUUAAAAGUACCUUAAUA